AGAGUUUGAUCCUGGCUCAGAAUCAACGCUGGCGGCGUGCCUCAGACAUGCAAGUCGAACGAUUAAACUCUCCUUCGGGAGAGAUAUAAAGUGGCGCACGGGUGAGUAACACGUAGGUAAUCUACCUUUGAGUGGGGAAUAACGUUCGGAAACGAACGCUAAUACCGCAUAAUGCAGCGGCACCGCAAGGUGACAGUUGUUAAAGGAGCAAUCCGCUUAAAGAGGAGCCUGCGGCAGAUUAGCUAGUUGGUAAGGUAAUGGCUUACCAAGGCGACGAUCUGUAACCGACCUGAGAGGGUGGUCGGUCACACUGACACUGAAUAACGGGUCAGACUCCUACGGGAGGCAGCAGUCGGGAAUUUUGGGCAAUGGGCGAAAGCCUGACCCAGCAACGCCGCGUGAAGGAUGAAGUAUUUCGGUAUGUAAACUUCGAAAGAAUGGGAAGAAUAAAUGACGGUACCAUUUAUAAGGUCCGGCUAACUACGUGCCAGCAGCCGCGGUAAUACGUAGGGACCAAGCGUUGUUCGGAUUUACUGGGCGUAAAGGGCGCGUAGGCGGCGUGUUAAGUCAGCUGUGAAAUCUCCGAGCUUAACUCGGAACGGUCAGCUGAUACUGAUGUGCUAGAGUGCAGAAGGGGCAAUCGGAAUUCUUGGUGUAGCGGUGAAAUGCAGAUAUCAAGAGGAACACCUGAGGUGAAGACGGGUUGCUGGGCUGACACUGACGCUGAGGCGCGAAAGCUAGGGUAGCAAACGGGAUUAGAUACCCUAGUAGUCC
rnacentral:rRNA from 1 species